CACUGCGCAGCGAUGGCUCAAGCUUUUGGGGCCCGUCAUGAGCAGAUCUUGUCGGUAACCCACCCUGCCGUUAACGUACAGACAAGUGGAGAUAUCAUGACACUUGACUGCUGGAGCUGCAACAGAUGAUGUACCCUGCAGGAUUGCAUGGACAUGGGCAAGAUAGUGAAAGAUUCAGACACGUAUCCAAGCAUCUGAUUAGGCAAGAAGGAAAGAAAAGAUACCAGGAGAGAUAGCAGGCAAAAUGAUUGUUUAAAUUAUCUUAAAUUUGAAAAUAUUGCAUACUUAGAGUUAGGUUUGGGCCAUUCAAAGUUGUUGACUAGACCCAGGUCAUUACUGUCUAUUGAGCUGGGCCCAGGUCAAUUUUCAUUUUAUUAUAGCUUAAGGAUUUCUAUAGGGAUUUAUGUAUGACUUGAUGACUAAGUAAAAGGUUACCCUAUAUUAGGUGUUUUUACGCAAAAGAGUAUGGGCAACAUUUUGAUGCCCUCUUUGAUUUA